rnacentral:rRNA from 1 species
UACAGAGGGGGCUAGCGUUAUUCGGAAUUAUUGGGCGUAAAGGGCGCGUAGGCGGCCAUGCGUGUCUUCCGUGAAAUCCCUCGGCUUAACUGAGGACGUGCGGAAGAAACUGCAAGGUUCGAGUCCGGGAGAGGGGGGUGGAAUUCCCAGUGUAGCGGUGAAAUGCGUAGAUAUUGGGAGGAACACCGGUGGCGAAGGCGGCCCCCUGGACCGGUACCGACGCUGAGGCGCGAAAGCGUGGGUAGCAAACGGG